AUUUGAGAAAAGCAAACUUAUUGAAAGAUAAGGACGCAAAGCUAUAGGGCCUAAUGCAUCAUUCUGUUAUGGUAGCCUGGUUGCCGAG
rnacentral:ncRNA from 1 species